UAAAUAAAACAAGAGGCUGUCACAACGACAGCAAACCGGAUUUAUUAACAUUUAUUUGUGUCCUGGCAAUAUCACAAGAACCAUUACUGAUGAAUGGUGAAAGUGAAAAUCGUCAAUUUCAAAUUUGACCUCCAUUUUGUCAUCAGUAUCAACAUAUUAAAAUUUGAAAAGCUUAGAUUGAAUGGUUCAUGAGUAAAUGCAACCUGAAUGGAAACGCUAUUUUACGAUCUUUCAAGAACCAUAACUCCUGAACGGUAAAAGUCAAAAUCGUCAUUAUUGAAC
rnacentral:lncRNA from 1 species